GUAGGUGGCAAGCGUUGUCCGGAAUUAUUGGGCGUAAAGCGCGCGCAGGCGGUUCUUUAAGUCUGAUGUGAAAGCCCACGGCUCAACCGCGGAGGGUCAUUGGAAACUGGAGAACUUGAGUACAGAAGAGGAAAGCGGAAUUCCACGUGUAGCGGUGAAAUGCGUAGAGAUGUGGAGGAACACCAGUGGCGAAGGCGGCUUUCUGGUCUGUAACUGACGCUGAGGCGCGAAAGCGUGGGGGAGCAAACAGGAUUAGAUACCCUGGUAGUCCACGCCGUAAACGAUGAGUGCUAAGUGUUAGGGGGUUUCCGCCCCUUAGUGCUGCAGCUAACGCAUUAAGCACUCCGCCUGGGAGUACGGCCGCAAGGCUG
rnacentral:rRNA from 1 species